rnacentral:lncRNA from 1 species
AAUCUAUCCAAAAAAUACAGUUAUAGAAGUCGACUAUAUGAAUCCAAAUCGAAUAACUUAAAAUGAGAAAAAAGCUCCGAUAACUACAACUUCAAAAAUUCAAUGUCAAACAAUCGGGUUUCAAAACAGGCACUUCAACAAAGAUCUCGAAACUCAAAUCCAUUGAUCACAAUGAAGAAAUGAACGAUAUAAAGAGGAGAUGGAAAGAAGGUAGGAAAUGGAGAAAUAAAUUGAAGCAGAUACCUCUGAGAAUAGAAGAAACAGGUUAAGUGAAAAUUCAGAGUGGUUGUGCGGGUAGAAAAUGGGGAAUUUCGGAUUCGUCUUGGGUACGAAGCAAGCGAAUGUUGUUAGCGUGAUGACAUGUAUCCAAAUGCAAUGCAAAUUCUGAAUCUCAUAUCCCAAAUCACUAGUUAUAACCCAAAUUUCGGUAAAAUUUUGUAACUAGCAAUGUUUCAAUUAUAUGAAAUAUAACAAUUUAUAUUGUGUUAUGAUAUAUAUUAAUUAUAGUGAAUGUGUAUCAAAAAGUAUAUUAGGAUUUGAUCUAUUUAUCUUUUAGUGUGAAACUAGGGACAAAUUCCUCUAUAAACAAAAGGUAAUCAUCUAGAAUUACUCUCUCUAUUCUCUCUACUCUUCUUGUUUAUUCUUUCUUAUUUUAUAACACGUUAUCAGCACUCUACCAUCUUAAAUUUGAAGGCUAAGGCUAAGGUAUUAUUAUUUUUCUUCUCUUUUUUCGUAUGGCUAACAAUCUUAUGAAGUGUGAGUUCGUUGCCCUUCAAAAGUUCGGGUAAGAACUAUAUUUCAUGGGUGUUGGAUGCUAAAAUCCACCUAGAUGUUAUAGGUCUUAGAGACGCCAUAAAGAAUGAAAAUCCAGUAUCUAGUUAAAAUCGUGCUAAGACUAUGAUUUUCUUGCGUCAUCAUCUUGACGAAGUUCUGAAAAUUGAGUACCUUACUACUAAGGAUCCACUUGUAUUGUGGAAUAACUUAAAAGAAAGGUUUGAUCACUUAAAGAUGAUCAUCCUCCCGAAAGCACGAUAUGAGUGGAUGCAUCUAAGAUUUCAAGACUAUAAGUCUAUUCAUGAAUACAAUUCUGUCAUGUUCAUAAUUUCUUCUCAAUUGAAAUUUUGUGGAGAGACGGUCAAUGAUAAUGAUAUGAUGGAAAAGACGUUUUCCACUUUUCAUGCCUUAAAUGUGCUCUUACAGCAACAAUAUAGAGAAAAAAGUUUCAAGAAGUAUACUGAACUGAGUUCUCAUCUUCUCGUGGCUGAACAAAAUAAUGAUUUGUUGAUGAAAAAUCACGAGAACCGACCAACUGGAUCUGCACCAUUCCUGAGGUGAAUGAUGUGCACGCUCACCAUACUAGGCGUGGAAAAGGUUGCGGCCCUGGUCGUGGACGUGGUCGUGGUCGUGAUGACCAAGAAAGAAACCCUGUACCGAGUGUUAAUCAUUCAUCGAAUAAAAAGAUAAAAGAUGAGAAACGUGAAGCAAUUACUUGUUUCUGAUGUGGUGGAAAAGGACAUUAUUCACGUGAUUGUCGUGCUCUCAAGCACUUGGUUGAUCUUUAUCAAGCAUCACUAAAGAAUAAAGAGAGAAAUCCCGAGGCUAAUUUUCUCUCUGAAAAUAAUAUUGACAUCACAUGCUUGGAUGUAGCAGACUUUUACGAGCACCCUGAAGGAAAGAUUAAUCACUUGAUUGGUGAUGGUUCCAUAAAAGAAUGAAUGUUUUUAUUUAUUUUUUUAAAUUGUUGAUAAGAGUUAGAGAAUAAAAAUUAUGUAAAAGUAGUUGUUUGCAUUCGUAUUGAUUUUUAAUUCACAUUAAUUAGUUCAAUUAUAUUAUUGUAAUUUAUUAUUGAAUUGAAUUGAAUUUCAAUUUUAUCAUUAUUUAUUGAAAAAAAAAAAAAGAACUUAACGAUUCGUGCAUGUGUGGAGAUGCAGGAAUUGAAUCCUUUACCUUUUGCAUGCUCCAAAUCGAAUAACUUAAAAUGAGAAAAAAGCUCCGAUAACUACAACUUCAAAAAUUCAAUGUCAAACAAUCGGGUUUCAAAACAGGCACUUCAACAAAGAUCUCGAAACUCAAAUCCAUUGAUCACAAUGAAGAAAUGAACGAUAUAAAGAGGAGAUGGAAAGAAGGUAGGAAAUGGAGAAAUAAAUUGAAGCAGAUACCUCUGAGAAUAGAAGAAACAGGUUAAGUGAAAAUUCAGAGUGGUUGUGCGGGUAGAAAAUGGGGAAUUUCGGAUUCGUCUUGGGUACGAAGCAAGCGAAUGUUGUUAGCGUGAUGACAUGU